rnacentral:rRNA from 1 species
GACGAACGCUGGCGGCGUGCUUAACACAUGCAAGUCGAACGGACAGGCCCUGCUUUUGUGGGGUGCUCGAGUGGCGAACGGGUGAGUAACACGUGAGUAACCUGCCCUUGACUUUGGGAUAACUUCAGGAAACUGGGGCUAAUACCGGAUAGGAGCUCCUGCUGCAUGGUGGGGGUUGGAAAGUUUCGGCGGUUGGGGAUGGACUCGCGGCUUAUCAGCUUGUUGGUGGGGUAGUGGCUUACCAAGGCUUUGACGGGUAGCCGGCCUGAGAGGGUGACCGGCCACAUUGGGACUGAGAUACGGCCCAGACUCCUACGGGAGGCAGCAGUGGGGAAUAUUGCACAAUGGGCGGAAGCCUGAUGCAACAACGCCGCGUGCGGGAUGACGGCCUUCGGGUUGUAAACCGCUUUCGCCUGUGACGAAGCGUGAGUGACGGUAAUGGGUAAGGAAGCACCGGCUAACUACGUG